AAGAUUGCCAGCUAUAGCAAGCAUCCCAGCUGCAGCAACCAGGACCGACUUGUGCACUCCUCAUCUGAAGUCUUCAUUUCUCUUUUACUCUGCCUCCUUGUUCUUGUCCUCUUGUCCCCUGCUACCCCCAUAGCAGUCAUCCUAGAAGUCCCUGUUUUGGUUCACACCUCAAGAUUCUGUGGGCCCUCCUUAUCCAACCUUUCUGGGGUCUGGGAACUCUCCCAGCAUGACCCUCAAACCUCUGAUUCUAAGCAUGGUGGUGCUAGUCACUGUGUGACGCUAGGCUGCCACAGAGCCCAAAUUCCCUGCUGUUCGACUGGCUUUGCAGAAUUUUGACAUGACUUACAGUGUGCAGUUUGGAGAUCUUUGGCCAUCAAUCCGUGUCAGUCUCCUCUCAGAGCAGAAGUAUGGUGCACUGGUCAAUAACUUUGCUGCCUGGGAUCAUGUAAGUGCUAAGCUGGAGCAGCUGAGUGCCAAGGAUUUUGUGAAUGAAGCCAUCUCCCACUGGGAACUGCAGUCUGAGGGUGGCCAAUCUGCAGCCCCAUCCCCUGCCUCCUGGGCCUGCAGUCCGAACCUUCGAUGCUUCACUUUUGACAGAGGGGAUAUCAGUCGCUUCCCUCCUGCCAGGUAGGAUCUGGAGCCAUGACUGGAGCGGUCCUGAGUGUCUGCUGGAAGUAGACAUGUUGAGACCCAGCUUCUACCCUCUGUAAUAAGGACCAUAAUAUUGCUAAUAUUUAUGGCAUGUUUAUACAGACUAGGCAUUUUUUUGAGGUGCUGUACAUAUGUUAUCUCUUUUUGUUCUGUCAGCAGCCUUAUGAAGUAGGUAAUAUUAUUGCUGUUUUACAUUUGGAGAAACU
rnacentral:lncRNA from 10 species